GACGAACGCUGGCGGUGUGCUUAACACAUGCAAGUCGAACGGUAAGGCCCUUUCGGGGGUCCACGAGUGGCGAACGGGUGCGUAACACGUGAGUAACCUGCCCUCAUCUCUGGGAUAACAGUCGGAAACGGUUGCUAAUACUGGAUAUGAGCUUGCAAGGCAUCUUGUGGGUUGGAAAGAUUUUUUUUGGUUGGGGAUGGACUCGCGGCCUAUCAGCUUGUUGGGGAGGUAGUGGCUCACCAAGGCUUCGACGGGUAGCCGGCCUGAGAGGGCGACCGGCCACAUUGGGACUGAGAUACGGCCCAAACUCCUACGGGAGGCAGCAGUGGGGAAUAUUGCACAAUGGACGGAAGUCUGAUGCAGCAACGCCGCGUGCGGGAUGACGGCCUUCGGGUUGUAAACCGCUUUCAAUUGUGACGAAGCUUUUUUGUGACGGUAGCAGUAGAAGAAGCACCGGCUAACUACGUG
rnacentral:rRNA from 1 species